CAGUAGCCGCGGGAAUACGGAGGGAGCUAGCGUUGUUCGGAAUUACUGGGCGUAAAGCGCGCGUAGGCGGUUACUCAAGUCAGAGGUGAAAGCCCGGGGCUCAACCCCGGAACUGCCUUUGAAACUAGGUGACUAGAAUCUUGGAGAGGUCAGUGGAAUUCCGAGUGUAGAGGUGAAAUUCGUAGAUAUUCGGAAGAACACCAGUGGCGAAGGCGACUGACUGGACAAGUAUUGACGCUGAGGCACGAAAGCGUGGGGAGCAAACAGGAUUAGAUACCCGUGUAGUCCCUGUCUCUUAUAC
rnacentral:rRNA from 1 species